rnacentral:rRNA from 1 species
AUCCUGGCUCAGGAUGAACGCUAGCGGCAGGCCUAAUACAUGCAAGUCGAACGGUAAGUUGAGUAGCAAUACUUGACCUAGAGUGACGUACGGGUGCGUAACACGUAUGCAACCUACCCAUAACAGGAGGAUAGCUCCCCGAAAGGGGAAUUAACCCUCCAUAAUAUAAUUGGAUGGCAUCAUUUGAUUAUUAAAACUCCGGUGGUUAUGGAUGGGCAUGCGUCUGAUUAGCUAGUUGGCGGUGUAACGGACCACCAAGGCGAUGAUCAGUAGGGGAACUGAGAGGUUGAUCCCCCACACUGGCACUGAGAUACGGGCCAGACUCCUACGGGAGGCAGCAGUAGGGAAUAUUGGUCAAUGGAUGCAAGUCUGAACCAGCCAUGCCGCGUGCAGGAAGACGGCCCUAUGGGUUGUAAACUGCUUUUGCCAGGGGAUAAAACGAGCAUGCGUGCUUAAUUGAAGGUACCUGGUGAAUAAGCCACGGCUAACUACGUG